rnacentral:RNase_P_RNA from 1 species
AGCGGAAUGGACGGUCGCGCGGGAAACCGUGAGGAAAGUCCGGGCUCCGCAGAGCGGGAUAACGGCUAACGGCCGCCGAGGGUGACCUUAAGGGACAGUGCAACAGAGAUAUACCGCCGGACAACGUCCGGUAAGGGUGGAAAGGCGAGGCAAGAGCUCACCGGCGCAACGGAGACGUCUGCGUCCUGCAAACCCUAUCCGGAGCAACACCGACCGAAGUGGCUUGCUCGGCCCAUACUUCAACGGGUGGCUUGAGGUGCGGAGCGAUCCGCAUUCGAGACAGAUGACCGUCUUCAAAGACAGAACCCGGCUUACAGUUCCGCUCG